UAAAAGAAAUAUUUGGUUCUGGUAUAAUGUUAGCUAUAGAGUUUUUUACAUUACACAAUGUAGGACAGUUUCGUGAUGUGUAAAAGUCUGAUCUAUAGGAUAAGCCGAACAAUUUAACUAUCCUAAAGGGAUAAAUGUGGCAGCAGGAGCAUAAGUUUAAAAUGAUGACGCGAAGGAAAUCACAACUCAAGUGGGUAGAUCUGGAAAUCAAUGAGUUCUAGCUUGAAACGAAUAAAAAACUAAUUAGAUUGAAGCGAAAGAGGGUGCCAGCAGCUGCGGUCACUCCCUCUCUCAAAGAGCUAACAAGGGUGCAGCUUAGAGGCAGUUAGUUAAAACACAAAUGCAAGACAUACAGCAGGGGCUAUGGGUGAAAUCUCAGUCCUGCGGGAGGUCCAAAACUUGCGUAAAAAUGAUUCUGCGAAGUUAUGGGUAUAGACCCGGAUUUGGUACCCGGUUAUUCCAUAAUGUCAAGUAUAGCUACCUUAUUUAACUGGUAGUUUGCUAGGGGUACUACGAGCAACUGCUUAAAACUCGAAGAACUUGGCGGUUCCGCAUAACCAUCCAGAGGCUCUUGGCGCUUAAUCUGAUGAUCCGCGUGAUAUCUUACCUGCCCUAUAGAAAGCAGUGUACUGCCGUCGAAAGCUUAUAAUGUGAGUAAGUAGCAAUAGGCUUAAUCUUGGGGUUUAUAAGAAAUUAAUAACCAUGCCGAGGCUAGGUCAGGUCGAAGUGCUCCUUAUGGGCAAGGGGUUAGCUGAGAGACGAAUAUUUAGACAUAUAAAGAUUUUAGGGAUGAAAUUCUCUUAGUGUAUAUAAGGAUUUGGGAGUAAAAAGAGAGUAACUCGUUUUUUUGAAAAGACGCAACUGCGGUGCGUUCAAAUCGCCCGUCACCCUAGCCGAAAGGAGAGGUAAGUCGUAACAUGGUAAGGGUAGGGGAACUUGCUCUUUUAAUAG
rnacentral:rRNA from 1 species